rnacentral:rRNA from 1 species
UACGAGGGGGGCAAGCGUUGUUCGGAAUUAUUGGGCGUAAAGGGCGCGUAGGCGGCGCGGUAAGUCGGGUGUGAAAUCUCGGAGCUUAACUCCGAAACUGCAUUCGAUACUGCCGUGCUUGAGGACUGGAGAGGAGACUGGAAUUUACGGUGUAGCGGUGAAAUGCGUAGAUAUCGUAAGGAAGACCAGUGGCGAAGGCGGGUCUCUGGACAGUUCCUGACGCUGAGGCACGAAGGCCAGGGGAGCAAACGGG